rnacentral:rRNA from 1 species
GUGCCAGCAGCCGCGGUAAUACGAAGGGUGCAAGCGUUAAUCGGAAUUACUGGGCGUAAAGGGUGCGUAGGCGGUUUGUUAAGUCUGUUGUGAAAUCCCCGGGCUCAACCUGGGAAUGGCAAUGGAUACUGGCAAGCUAGAGUGUGUCAGAGGAUGGUGGAAUUCCCGGUGUAGCGGUGAAAUGCGUAGAGAUCGGGAGGAACAUCAGUGGCGAAGGCGGCCAUCUGGGACAACACUGACGCUGAAGCACGAAAGCGUGGGGAGCAAACAGGAUUAGAUACCCUAGUAGUCC